rnacentral:rRNA from 1 species
AUGGCAAGGAACCAAGAUGUCGCGGCCGAGGAGAGGAGGUUGGCGGCCGAGGAGAGGAAGGUGGCUUUGGAGGAGAGGAAGGUGAGCAAUGAGGAGCGAACUAGAUUGUUGGAAUGGGAGAAUCACUUGUUCUUCUUGGACACAUCUAUCCUCAAUGAGGCGCAAAAGGAGUAUGUCAAUCUUGCCCGUGAAGAAGUCUUGAUCCAAAAAAGAGCCAUGAUUCGCGCAAUGGGUGGCGGUGGCCUUGGCGCCAUGGGAGGCAUGGGUGGCUUCGGAGGUACCGUGGGCGGCUUAGGUGCCAUGGGUGGCUUUGGAGCUACCAUGGAGACCAUGGGAGGCAUGGGUGGCUUUGGAGCACCCCCCGACGCUAUGGCCGCCAUGGGAGGCAUGAGUUUUGCUUAUCUCAUGGGAGGCAUGGAUCCACCUCCGGCCGCCAUGGGCGGAAUGUCUUUCGGUGUGCCUCACACGCCUUCCCAUGAAGAUGCCGUUGAAGAUCUUGCCAACACCGUCCGAGCUUCACGUGAUGCGGUGCGCGACAGAUGA